CACGUAGGGCGCGAGCGUUGUCCGGAAUCAUUGGGCGUAAAGAGCUCGUAGGCGGCCUGUCGCGUCUGCUGUGAAAUCCCGGGGCUCAACCCCGGGCGUGCAGUGGAUACGGGCUGGCUGGAGGCAGGCAGGGGAGAACGGAAUUCCCGGUGUAGCGGUGAAAUGCGCAGAUAUCGGGAGGAACACCGGUGGCGAAGGCGGUUCUCUGGGCCUGUACUGACGCUGAGGAGCGAAAGCGUGGGGAGCGAACAGG
rnacentral:rRNA from 1 species